GAUGAACGCUGGCGGCGUGCCUAAUACAUGCAAGUCGAGCGAACGGACGAGAAGCUUGCUUCUCUGAUGUUAGCGGCGGACGGGUGAGUAACACGUGGAUAACCUACCUAUAAGACUGGGAUAACUUCGGGAAACCGGAGCUAAUACCGGGUAAUAUUUUGAACCGCAUGGUUCAAAAGUGAAAGACGGUCUUGCUGUCACUUAUAGAUGGAUCCGCGCUGCAUUAGCUAGUUGGUAAGGCAACGGCUUACCAAGGCAACGAUGCAUAGCCGACCUGAGAGGGUGAUCGGCCACACUGGAACUGAGACACGGUCCAGACUCCUACGGGAGGCAGCAGUAGGGAAUCUUCCGCAAUGGGCGAAAGCCUGACGGAGCAACGCCGCGUGAGUGAUGAAGGUCUUCGGAUCGUAAAACUCUGUUAUUAGGGAAGAACAUAUGUGUAAGUAACUGUGCACAUCUUGACGGUACCUAAUCAGAAAGCCACGGCUAACUACGUG
rnacentral:rRNA from 1 species